UACGGAGGGGGCUAGCGUUGUCCGGAAUUAUUGGGCGUAAAGAGCUCGUAGGCGGCUUGUCGCGUCGGAUGUGAAAGCCCGGGGCUUAACUCCGGGUCUGCAUUCGAUACGGGCAGGCUAGAGUUCGGUAGGGGAGAUCGGAAUUCCUGGUGUAGCGGUGAAAUGCGCAGAUAUCAGGAGGAACACCGGUGGCGAAGGCGGAUCUCUGGGCCGAUACUGACGCUGAGGAGCGAAAGCGUGGGGAGCGAACAGG
rnacentral:rRNA from 1 species